rnacentral:misc_RNA from 1 species
UUGAUUCUAAUAAUACAUUUAGACCAAGCAGCAGUGGUGAUGUUGAUAGCGAAGUCUUACUUAAGCCUGCUCCUAAGCCUGUCUUGAAAUCUGCUUCUCUAGUCUCUAAAGGUGAAUCCCUUUUAGGUAUGAGCUCUGUUGAGUUGGACCCUUCGAGGGAUUCUGAUGAUGAACGAGAGAGGAAUGAGGUGAUUGAGUCUCUUGGUGAGGUGUUGGAGAAGGCUGAAAAGCUUGAAACUUAUAAGCCAAGUCCUAGCACUACUAGGAAAGAUAAUGGAAGUGUAAA